GCGAUUUCGGCUCUUGAGAGCCUCUUGUUUAUAAAACCCUUGUUACUUUUUUUUAUAAAACUACUGUUACUAUUCUAUAAACCAAUGUGACUAUUCUACAGUUAUGUGUGAUAAAACAAAUACCAAAACAAAUAUGCUAGACAUAAGACAUAAAUCAAUGACUUUCCUUAUAGAUACGUUUAAUUAGUUUUCUUUUUUUUUCUUUGAAAGACUCAAAGUUAAACAGGUUGUUCUUUUUAGAUGAAAAAAAUAAUUAAGUCUUGUUAAAGAUAUCUCCUGAUAAGGGACACUUUUAACAUUGUAAAUUAUGUAGUAUCACCACAUUUUGAACAUAUUGUCAUCCUC
rnacentral:lncRNA from 1 species